rnacentral:lncRNA from 1 species
GGCCGUGAAAGAGGGUGUUUGACAUGUUCGUAAGACUUCUUCUUUAAUUUAUUAUCGAUUAUCUUGUUAUGCUUUGGUUUAAGACUUAAAAGUCUUGGGACACUAAGAAAAGAUAACUAAUUGACUACUAUAAGAGACGCAAAACAGCACUAGCAGUAAUGGGUGAAAAGAGUCUUCGGAUCAACAAGUCCGACCAUUUACAAGAAUUCCCAAGGAUCUCAGUUUGGAUGAAAAAAAAAAAAAACAAAC